UAUGUGGCCUGCAAAAGUCAUCAUUUUUUUUCCCCGUGAUUUCUGUUAAAAAGAAGAAGAAAAAAAGCUUAACUAUCGACACUGUAGUUGAUGUUCUGACUUACACGCCAUACGUUUUCAAAAAGAUUUGAAUGAAAAACAAUGGCAGAAAUGGUAAUAUAAGCAUAUUUGUAAAUGCCUCACGUACCAAGGGGUAUUUGUCAUCCAUGAUCUGCUUUAUCGUAUGGAUCUGGUACACGUCAGGCUGUCGAAGUGGUCUCGGUGUUGUAGUAUCGGAGCAUUUUUAUGAGUCCAAGUACAGGCGUGCAGUAUUGGCACUAGUACAGGCCUAUUCAGAGUGCGUUGAAUAUAUCUGUUUUGCCUUUUUUGUUCUCAUUUUGCACCUAAAACUUGAAAAGGUUUUGCAUGAUAAAAAUGCCGAUCAAAUGCAGGCGCAAUUGUGUAAGGUAAUUUGGAUUAUUGGCGUUCCCACACAACAUAUUAUAUCAGACAAGACACGUAACUGCCUCGUGCUCAAGUCACACGCUGGACUGUGGUGCUUGUCUAAUUCCCACAUUCCCUUAAAAGAAGAGAAACUAUUGAUCUCACACACACAAAAAUAAGAUGCUGCUGUUAGACUAACUUUCAUUCAAUCUCACCCUGUUUACACAAAAGACAAGCAGUUUGUUUGGCCUUUUGAUCCCUUUACUGUAAAAAUGUAAAACAUUAAAGCAUGGAAAAGAACCCAACCAGGAUUUUUGGCACAUUUAUGUGCUUUCACUGUUCGAACUGGCCACGGGGUGACCACAACUGCAAUGCGGUCCGUGAUGAAAACCAAAAAGUUUGACUCACUUGUACUAAAGGGUUUUAUUGUGUAACUGGUCUGGGGGCAAACAAGGGUGUUUAUUGCAGUAUAGUAUAAAAUGGAAAUGAGAUAAGGGCGUGGGAGUGUGUUGCAGGAAAGCGCCCAGCAGGGUGCACGUGGACGCCAUAAAGAAAAGAUGUCAGAGAAGACAAAGGCUGCGGGGGAUUGCUGUAAACCGCGCCUGGAGCCACCGGCAAAUGGCCAUCAUUCUGCAGAGCAAUGACGACGUCAGAUGGGACCGUGGACCAAUCUGACCACAGCGAUUCCAUACUUCCUCUUUCAAACAUUGUUGUUUGCAGUCAUCCGUGACAUGAUCCCGCCCUCGUAGCCGACGGUGACGAGGCACCCGGACUUCAAACCUAUCGUGGGUCCCAGUUCUCACUUCGAACAUUGCAUAAGUAUUUGGACAGAUAAGACAAGGUCACAGCCUUCCUGUUUAAGGGAGGCAAAUGUUAUUUAUAGAAUUGCUUUGCUUGACACAUUGCCAGCUGAAGUUAGGACCCUGACCUCACGGAAGGGGGAGAUAGCUACUUUAAUCGUCACGCGUCUCACCAUUUGAAACUUUUUGUCGACAGACAAGACAAAUCAUCAGACGAGGUAAAGGACAUGCAGGAACAACUUUUGAAGUUACAAUUGGCCCAGGCCCGCAAAGUGGCCAUUGAACAAAAAAAAAUUAUCAAUAAAUGGAAGCAGAAAAGCAGAUGUGGAUGGCGUAGGGGUCAACGAGGGGACGAGGCGGGAGUCUUGACAGGGGAUACACCAACGGGGGCAGGGGAAGCGCUCAUACUGUGGUCAGUGCGAACACUGGUAGCGUCAAUGUAAUGCUCCCAGACUGAUGCGACAGAGACCUCCAGUGGGACCCGGAGAGGCCCCACCCCAAAGAGGAGGCUACAGAGAUCUGCUCAUCAAAACCAGGGCUACCAUCCUUUGCAGCCCGGACGGACUGACGAUACGGUUCCCAGAUGGGACCGUGAUGAACUGAGAGUGGAAAAUUGUCCGCCGGGUGGAACAUGGUGCAACAUGACGUUCCGGAAGCGACCGCUGACAUAUAUUGGGCCCGACUUAAAGCGGAAGCCCUGAAUCGACUAUCUUGCCUCCGACAGCCCUCCGCUCGAUCCCCUCCAUCUCACACUGCACUAUGAUAAAAAUGACGAUUUUGUUUACAGACAAGCCUUUGAGUCAAUACAGGAUGAAAACUGUUCAGGUAUUUACAUAGGGAAGCAAGGUGUGGCAGCUGCCUCCACUUUGACGCCAGAGCAGAGUGAGUGGUUUAUGAUGAGUUUCACAUCUUUUCCACACAUUUCACUUCCACUUGCACUAGGUCAUGAAGCCUGACAACUGGGACGGAUGGUAAGGAAAUGUCAUUUGGCAAAUGAUUGGCAACAAGGUCAAAUAACUCAAUGUGUUGUACUCUCCUAGUACUGAAUGUUUUUGAAUUCAGGGUGCCACGGCGGGCGGGGAAUAUUGGAGCAUGUCACUUUGGCGCGAUUCCAUGGCAGAGAGCUCUCGGACCAUGAGGACGCCGCACAGCUGUUGAAUUCGCUGCCGGACUCACGGCCUACAGAUGGGGGUCUAUGUGCAUCCGUGACUUCGGUAACGUUCGAGGUAGACCCGACUGCUUUUGUUAACGUUCCGUAGUAUCCCUGUAAACGAGUGGCCGCUGAAGACAUCGCGGAGACCCAAAUACUGAAUUCCAAACGCUUUGGUCCACAAAGGAUUUUAUGAAACCCUCCGCUCGAGCUGCAGAACUGCUGGCCAUGUGCAGGGCACUGGAGUUAUCUGAAGGUCAGAGUGUUACUAUUUAUUCAUGGUGCGGCUGAUGCUGCGGCUACAUUUUCAAAAAAUGUAGCACGCUAUCAAAUGGACGAGGGAGGAAAUUAUUUUGUUAAACAGGAUCAGUUAAUUGCCUUUCUCCCUGCAGUAACAGUUGAUGUAGUGCGUGGCGCCAAAGGAAGACAAACGUGAGUAUGACGACAAGGAGAAGCUGCGCCUUGUCCCUCGGGGUGGCCCGAGGAGACUGGUCUUAACUACAGGAAAGUUCAUGUGGUUAGUGGUUGAGGAAGCACACGCCCCAACACAUGAGAGUUGUGUGUCAAUGCUGUACAAGCUGCGCUUUUGGUGGCACCCUGAUCUUCUGCGCAAGGUAAAACAUUUUUGUGUUUUUUUGUGAUUUUCGCGUUGGCCCUACAACGAAGGGGGAACCGCAACACACUGAGAUGGGCCGAUGCCAGAAUGAUGUGGCGGUAAUGGACUGAACCGACAAUGGUGGUCCCAGUCCAAGGCAUAAGGCUGCCAGAACUAAGACAAGGGCGUGCAAAAUCCUCUCGCACCCUCCGCACCCCGGUCACCAGUUCUUCCAGCUCCUUCCCUCAGUUUUGUCUAGGAGCGGCUGUUUGAUCCACUGGUUGACCAGCCGCUGUCCCUGAGGCGUGCGGCACUUGUUCAGCAGACCGGCCAACGAGUGGGCACCGCUGGUGUCGUCGGGUGCACCCUGCGGGAAGGCAACGGUGU